AGUGAACGCUGGCGGUAGGCCUAACACAUGCAAGUCGAACGGCAGCACAGUAAGAGCUUGCUCUUACGGGUGGCGAGUGGCGGACGGGUGAGGAAUACAUCGGAAUCUACUUUUUCGCGGGGGAUAACGUAGGGAAACUUACGCUAAUACCGCAUACGACCUACGGGUGAAAGCAGGGGAUCUUCGGACCUUGCGCGAUUGAAUGAGCCGAUGUCGGAUUAGCUAGUUGGCGGGGUAAAGGCCCACCAAGGCGACGAUCCGUAGCUGGUCUGAGAGGAUGAUCAGCCACACUGGAACUGAGACACGGUCCAGACUCCUACGGGAGGCAGCAGUGGGGAAUAUUGGACAAUGGGCGCAAGCCUGAUCCAGCCAUCCCGCGUGGGUGAAGAAGGCCUUCGGGUUGUAAAGCCCUUUUGUUGGGAAAGAAAAGCAGCAGGUUAAUACCCCGCUGUUCUGACGGUACCCAAAGAAUAAGCACCGGCUAACUUCGUG
rnacentral:rRNA from 1 species